GUCACGGAGAGUUUGAUCCUGGCUCAGGACGAACGCUGGCGGCGUGCUUAACACAUGCAAGUCGAACGAGAACGCACCUUCGGGUGCUAGUACAGUGGCGAACGGGUGAGUAACACGUGGGCAACCUGCCCCGGAGAGCGGGACAACUCGAGGAAACUCGAGCUAAUACCGCAUGAUCCGCCCUGACUCAGGUCAGGUCGGCAAAUGGUAGCUUCGGCCUCCGCUCUGGGAUGGGCCCGCGCAGCAUUAGCUAGUUGGUGAGGUAAUGGCUCACCAAGGCAACGAUGCUUAGCUGGUCUGAGAGGACGAUCAGCCACACUGGGACUGAGACACGGCCCAGACUCCUACGGGAGGCAGCAGUGGGGAAUCUUGCGCAAUGGGCGAAAGCCUGACGCAGCAACGC
rnacentral:rRNA from 1 species